rnacentral:rRNA from 1 species
GGGACCCCGCACAAGCGGUGGAUCAUGUUGUUUAAUUUCGAUGAUACGCGAAGAACCUUUACCAGGUCUUGAUAUCCCUUGCAAAGCUAUGGAGACAUAGUGGAGGUUAUCAAGGAGACAGGUGGUGCAUGGUUGUCGUCAGCUCGUGUCGUGAGAUGUUGGGUUAAGUCCCGCAACGAGCGCAACCCUUAUUGCUAGUUACCAUCAUUAAGUUGGGGACUCUAGCGAGACUGCCAGUGAUAAACUGGAGAAGUGGGGAUGACGUCAAAUCAUCAUGCCCCUUAUGACCUGGGCUACAAACGUGAUACAAUGGCUGAAACAAAGGGCAGCGAAGCAGUGAUGUGGAGCGAAACCCAAAAAAGCAGUCUCAGUUCGGAUUGAAGUCUGCAACUCGACUUCAUGAAGUUGGAAUCGCUAGUAAUCGUAGAUCAGAACGCUACGGUGAAUACGUUCUCGGGGUUU